rnacentral:rRNA from 1 species
AGUGAACGCUGGCGGUAGGCCUAACACAUGCAAGUCGAACGGCAGCACAGUAAGAGCUUGCUCUUACGGGUGGCGAGUGGCGGACGGGUGAGGAAUACAUCGGAAUCUACUUUUUCGUGGGGGAUAACGUAGGGAAACUUACGCUAAUACCGCAUACGACCUACGGGUGAAAGCAGGGGAUCUUCGGACCUUGCGCGAUUGAAUGAGUCGAUGUCGGAUUAGCUAGUUGGGGGGGGAAAGGCCCACCAAGGCGACGAUCGGUAGCUGGUCGGAGAGGAUGAUCGGCCACACUGGAAGUGAGACAGGGUCCAGACUCCUACGGGAGGCAGCAGUGGGGAAUAUUGGACAAUGGGCGCAAGCCUGAUCCAGCCAGACCGCGUGGGUGAAGAAGGCCUUCGGGUUGUAAAGCCCUUUUGUUGGGAAAGAAAAGCAGCAGGUUAAUACCCCGCUGUUCUGACGGUACCCAAAGAAUAAGCACCGGCUAACUUCGUG